AUGAAUCACUGGUCAAGAAGAAGCGUUCACGUCUAUGCGCGCGAGUCGCUGCUUCUUGAUUCUGCUGCUAACCAGAGUCGACUCAUAAUGGAUGUCAGAAGCUUUUUCAAAAAGCGGACGUCGCCACCA